GUGGGGUAAUGGCCUACCAAGGCGACGACGGGUAGCCGGCCUGAGAGGGCGACCGGCCACACUGGGACUGAGACACGGCCCAGACUCCUACGGGAGGCAGCAGUGGGGAAUAUUGCACAAUGGGCGGAAGCCUGAUGCAGCGACGCCGCGUGAGGGAUGAAGGCCUUCGGGUUGUAAACCUCUUUCACCCAUGACGAAGCGUGAGUGACGGUAGUGGGAGAAGAAGCACCGGCCAACUACGUGCCAGCAGCCGCGGUAAUACGUAGGGUGCAAGCGUUGUCCGGAAUUAUUGGGCGUAAAGAGCUCGUAGGCGGUCUGUCGCGUCGGCUGUGAAAACUCGGGGCUCAACUCCGAGCUUGCAGUCGAUACGGGCAGGCUAGAGUUCGGCAGGGGAGACUGGAAUUCCUGGUGUAGCGGUGAAAUGCGCAGAUAUCAGGAGGAACACCGGUGGCGAAGGCGGGUCUCUGGGCCGAUAUUGACGCUGAGGAGCGAAAGCGUGGGGAGCGAACAGGAUUAGAUACCCUGGUAGUCCACGCUGUAAACGUUGGGCGCUAGGUGUGGGGGACCUCUCCGGUUCUCUGUGCCGCAGCUAACGCAUUAAGUG
rnacentral:rRNA from 1 species